AGGGCAGUCACUGCAAAUCCAAGGCGCAGAGAAGCCAAGGACAUUAGCAGUUUUGCAUGUUUCUCCACUUGCCGAGGCAAACGAGAACAAUAAACGCAGGCUAAAGAUGGCUCACAGAACUUUCAAGAACCAAAAAUGCUGAGUUGUCCGGAUCAAAGUUGGUGCUUUGCGCGUCGCCUCGGCUGCCAGGGAAGGAAUGAAGUUUCGAAGGAAGCUCCCUCUCUGGCCCUCCGCCUGAGUGCACAGCAACUCAGGUGGGCAGCAAACCCCCAGGCCCGUGUACAUCAGGAGCCUCUCAAGCUGGCAUGAAGAGUGAGAAGAAGCAGUGCAGGGAGA